UGGCAUCCCAAAGGUGGCUAGAAGUCAAUGAUUUAGGCAGGCUUGUGAAUAGAUAUGGGAGAAGGCAAUGGCACCCCACUCCAGUACUCUUGCCUGGAAAAUCUCAUGGACGGAAGAGCCUGGUAGGCUGCAGUCCAUGGGGUCGCUCAGAGUCGGGCACGACUGAGCGACUUCACUUUCACAUUUCACUUUCAUGCAUUGGAGGAGGACAUGGCAACCCACUCCAGUGUUCUUGCCUGGAGAACCCCAGGGACUGCGGGGCCUGGUGGGCUGCCGUCCAUGGGGUCACACAGACUCGGACACGACUGAAACGACUUCGCAGCAGCAGCAGCAGCAGCAGCAGCAGCAGCAGUGCAUAGAUAUCAAAAGGGUUUAGAACAGUCAGGUAGGAUCACACAAGUCACCGUGAAGCAAUACUUCUCCACUUAGCCAAAGCUAACAAAAGAUUUCUGUUCUAGGUCAACCUAGAAGAGAUCACGGAAGAGGUAAAGAAACUUAAAAUCCAUUAGCAAAGGCAGUUCAACCUCUCAAGAAACCUUGUGCUAGGCACAACACUCUUUUCUGGGGGUCCACUUUCCCUACAACCUCCUGAUCCCAUUCGGUACCCAUUCCUUUGCUUCUCCCAUCCUCAAACUGCCACCUGGAAGAAAGAACGACGUCGUUUUCCUUCAGAAAAUGCGAUUUCAUGCCACAUACCUUCUUUUAAUACCAAGUCAUACAGUUCCCUUCAGCAACCAAGAACUGACUUUUAUAUUGGCAUUCGACAGAUUGGUGAACAUACCUAUCAGUGAUAGUAGCGCCCCUCCCCUCCCCCGCACGCACGCACACACACACACACACACACACACACACACACACCCAAGAUCAGAACCAAACAAAACAAAAAAAAAUUGCUUUCUUACGUUUCACAUGUCAGGAUGGUGCCAGACACUCUUAUUGGAUAGUCAAAAAUCUCUUUUGUUUCUGUGUAAAAGGGAGGUCCUUUCAAGGCGUGAAUGUUUCAGAACUUUAAUUUAUUUGGAAAUGACCCAGCUCUUCAGUACACUGUCGUCACUUAGUUUAGCACAGGAUAGAAACUCGGGUAACCAAAACACCUGGAGAAACGAUUGUAUGUUCAGUUCAGUUCAGUUCAGUGGCUCAGUCGUGUCUGACUCUUUGGGACCCCGUGGCCUGCAGGACGCUGGGCUUCCGUGUCCAUCACCAACUCCAGGGGCUUGCUCAAACUCAUGUCCAUCGAAUCAGUGAUGCCAUCCAACCAUCUUAGCCUCUGUCGUCCCUUCUCCUCUGCCUUCAAUCAAGACUCUCAUAGGCAGAUAUUUUCGAGUGUAAUUAGUGUUCAUAGUUUAUCUAAAAGCUCAUAU
rnacentral:lncRNA from 1 species